rnacentral:rRNA from 1 species
AUGGUUCUGAACAAGCUGCUCCAGCUGUUUGGAGUAGGCAAGAAGAAGAAGAAGAAGGAUUCCAAGAAGAAAGGAAAGUCCAUCAACCCUGUUUCGCAAGGUGCUGCUCCACACUCUACUUUUAAUAUCCUUGCGAGUCACAGUCUCUUGGAUCCAUGUUCAAGUGGGGCUGGUACGGUGCUAUCAGUGCCAAAGGACGAGCCUGAAUGUUCGAGUAAUAUCUCAUCGAUGGUAAAGGAAGGACAUGGAUCUGGAAAUGAGGAUCACAAGUCAUUUAACCAGUUUGAUGUUGUUCAAGAUUACUCCGACCACCACUAUGCAAAGACUUCACCAGGGAAGACCACGAAAGAUUGGGCGAAAACAAUCCAAAAUGAAUGGAAGCUUCUGCAGAGAGAUCUACCUGAAUCUAUUUAUGUUAGAGUUUAUGAAGAUAGGAUUGAUCUGAUUAGGGCUGCCAUUGUUGGGCCUGCUGGAACUCCAUAUCAUGAUGGUCUGUUCUUCUUUGAUGUUUGUUUUCCUCCUGAAUACCCGCGAUGUCCACCGAAAGUUCAUUUCCAUUCGAGUGGACUUCGGCUUAAUCCAAACUUGUAUGAGAGUGGUAAAGUUUGCCUCAGCCUGCUGAACACUUGGUUAGGUUCUGGAUCUGAGAAGUGGGGCAAGUCAAAUUCCACCAUGCUGCAGGUGUUGGUCUCCAUCCAGGGCCUUGUGUUGAAUGAUAAACCAUACUUUAAUGAGCCAGUCAUCUUUAGCUCUAAAGAAAAGCAUUCCCUUGGAUAUAAUCAGACUGCAUUUGUCCUAACCUGCAAGCUGAUGUUGUAUUUACUUCAUAAGCCUCCAAAGCAUUUUGAGACCCUCAUUGUGUGCCAUUUCCAUGAGCGGGAGCGGGCCAUCCUAGAGGCAUGCCGUGCAUAUGCUUCUGGCAUGGUCGUCGGAUCAUCGGUCAUGGAUGGCCGGACUUACCUCCGCAACAAGUGCUUUGCAGGUUUCAAGAAAUCCCUCGAUGCACAGACUGAACUUCUCGCGAAGGAGCUAUCCGCGAACAGACUUCAUGCGCUACAACUGAAGAGAGAGGUGGAUGCUGCAGAUAAGACCAUGUCUACCAGCUAG